rnacentral:rRNA from 1 species
GAUGAACGCUGGCGGCGUGCCUAAUACAUGCAAGUAGAACGCUGAAGGAGGAGCUUGCUCUUCUGGAUGAGUUGCGAACGGGUGAGUAACGCGUAGGUAACCUGCUUGGUAGCGGGGGAUAACUAUUGGAAACGAUAGCUAAUACCGCAUGACAACAGUUAUUGCAUGAUAACUGUUUAAAAGGGGCAACUGCUCCACUACCAGAUGGACCUGCGUUGUAUUAGCUAGUUGGUGAGGUAACGGCUCACCAAGGCGACGAUACAUAGCCGACCUGAGAGGGUGAUCGGCCACACUGGGACUGAGACACGGCCCAGACUCCUACGGGAGGCAGCAGUAGGGAAUCUUCGGCAAUGGACGGAAGUCUGACCGAGCAACGCCGCGUGAGUGAAGAAGGUUUUCGGAUCGUAAAGCUCUGUUGUAAGAGAAGAACGAGUGUGAGAGUGGAAAGUUCACACUGUGACGGUAUCUGACCAGAAAGGGACGGCUAACUACGUG